rnacentral:rRNA from 1 species
UACGUAGGGGGCAAGCGUUGUCCGGAAUUAUUGGGCGUAAAGAGCUCGUAGGCGGCUUGUCACGUCGAUUGUGAAAGCCCGAGGCUUAACCUCGGGUCUGCAGUCGAUACGGGCUAGCUAGAGUGUGGUAGGGGGAGAUCGGAAUUCCUGGUGUAGCGGUGAAAUGCGCAGAUAUCAGGAGGAACACCGGUGGCGAAGGCGGAUCUCUGGGCCAUUACUGACGCUGAGGAGCGAAAGCGUGGGGAGCGAACAGG